GCCGAACGCUGGCGGCGUGCCUAAUACAUGCAAGUCGAACGCAGUGGGGCCGGGUGAGUAACACGUGGGUAACCUACCAUCAGAGGGGAUAACACUUGGCAACAGGUGCUAAACCGAUACUGAUGGAUGGACCCGCGGUGCAUUAGCUAGUUGGGGAGGGAAAGGCUCACCAAGGCCACGAUGCAUAGCCGACCGGAGAGGGGGAUCGGAAACACGGGGACUGAGAGACGGCACAGACGCCUACGGUAGGCAGCAGUAGGGAAUAUUCGGCAAUGGACGAAAGUCUGACGGAGCAACGCCGGGUGAGUGAAGAAGGUUUUCGGAUCGUAAAACUCUGUUGUUAGAGAAGCGGGAUCUAACCAGAAAGCCACGGCUAACGACGUGCCAGCAGCCGCGGUAAUAC
rnacentral:rRNA from 1 species